GAGCACCAAGUGCCAGCGCAGGGGCAGGAAAGGGGUGGAAGGGCAAACGCUCCUUGCAGCUACAUCCCCGCAGGCAGAUGCAGGCUCUCAGGCCGUGACUGGGACCGGCUUCUGCCGUCCCGCCGACCCAGGGCCGCCAGGGCAGAAGCCCGCCCCUCGGCGCGCUUCCCGCCGCUACGCCGCGCCCGGAGGAGCAGGCCUGGCACCGCCGCUAAGGGGGCUUUAAAUGAGGCCAGGCUUGCAGCUCGUGGCUUUCCUGAAGCGUCCGCUUGACAAGCUCCUGUACAUCUUUCUGCGCCCUGCAAUGCAAUUUUUCAGAAGCCAAACAGGGUCAGUUUAAAGGGUACGGCCAUGUAAACCAUGUGAGUUUCCUGCUUGUGAUCCUGGGAGUUCUGUCUUCAUUGCGGUCUGAUGGUUCUAUCAAGAUACAAACCUUCUUAGGCUUUCUUCAAAGGUACAUUAUCCUUGAUCUGCACAGAGUAUCCCUCAAGUUACUUACUGUCCACCAUGAGAAUGCUUCAUAUGAAGUUAUACAUUCUAAGCUGCCUUUAAGUAUGCUGUUCUGUAUUACCUCAAUGGGCUAACAUUUCACCUGUCUGCACAAAAGAAAAAGCCACAGCCGUAUCAAACUCUGAUAAUGAUAGUAAACUGAGGCUCCAGCCAGCUUUCAUACUCAGAAGUCCAACCUGGGAUGGGCAAUCGUCACUGCCUUAAUAAAACAGUUUUCGGACUUA